AAGGAAUAAAGGGGUAAAAGGGUUACGAGGAUUGAUCGAUCGGUGGUCGCGGUGUCGGGGGAGAGCGGCGACAUGGCGGACUGGGACGGCGCUUCGGAGAGCGAUCUGAAGACGGCGGGGGCGGAGCCGCUUUCUGACGGGCGGCGCGGGCUGCGGCUCAAGGGUUGGCACAUCGAGUCCAUCAAGCGCCCCAUCCUCGGCUCGCUCGCCCGCCAAGAGCUGGAAGAAAAGCUAGGAACAUCACACUUGCCUGAAAUGGUGUUUGGAGAUAGUUCUUUAUUUCUUUUACAUGUGGGAACUGGUAUUAAAUUGCACUUCAAUGCAUUUGACGCUCUAAAGGGUUGGAUGCAAGAAGCACUGCCACCAGUUGAGGUCCCUGCUGCUGCAAAAUGGAAGUUCAGAAGCAAACCUUCACAGCAAGUGAUUCUCGAUUAUGAUUACACAUUUACAACACCAUAUUGUGGCAGUGAAACAUCAGAAUCAGAACUAGAAAAGACAAUUCUAGAAGAUGGUUGCUGCAGUCUUCACUGGGAGGACUGUGACGAGCGAAUUGAUCUGGCUGUAUUGUCAAUGAAAGAACCAAUCCUGUUCUAUGAUGAGGUAGUUCUCUAUGAGGACGAGUUGGCUGAUAAUGGAGUAUCACUCUUAACUGUAAAAGUGAGAGUCAUGCCUAGUUGCUGGUUUCUUCUUCUGCGUUACUGGCUUAGAGUUGAUGGAGUAUUAAUGAGACUAAGGGAUACUCGAGUUUAUUGUUCUUUUGCUAGCGAUGACAAAGUGAAGCCUAUCAUCAUUCGAGAGAACUGCUGGAGAGAAGCAACUAUUGAAAGUUUAUCUGUCCAAGGCUUUCCUUCUGGUUCUGCAGCAUAUGCGGAUCCAAAUCUUAUCAGUCAAAAUCUCCCUAUAGUCAAAAAUAAAACCCAAAGGCUGAAGAUUCCCAGGAGGUUGAUUGGAAUAUGCCAAUAACUUGAUGGAAUCAUUAUAUGGACUGCCGAUAUUUUUCUUCUCCUGGUCCUAUUUCCUUAUCAGAACAUGAUGGUGGGAAUUUCAAUGUAUCCGAGAAGCAGCUCUGAAGUUUGCUACCUAUACAAUGUUUCUCUACCAGUAAAAAAGAAAAGAAACUUCAUUUUAGGACAAUUUCUGGAUUUGCCACCGUGGUACUGUGCACGUCCAUCAUCCUAUUAUGCUUUUCUUUUCCUGCACUAUUGCAUCAUUCACUGCUUAGGACUGCACCUCCUCUUGUAAUGAUAUACUUCAAAUGCUUCAAUGUCUACAGGCUCACUAUUAUGUAAAGGCUUAUAAAAUUCUAGGAAAUGGACAACGCUAGAAGUUAUUGCGCUUUGAGUAAUUAAAUCACAGGAUUGUGCAGAGAUUUUACCAAGCACAUGCUUUUGUUUUAUAAUUCAGAAUCUUGUUUUAUACAGAUAUCAUGAUUUCAGAAGGUUGCUUUUGUUC